rnacentral:rRNA from 1 species
CCCUUAGAUGUCCGGGGCUGCACGCGCGCUACACUGAAGGAAUCAGCGUGCUAAAACCAUUGUCGAAAGGCAUUGGUAAACCCAUUAAAAUCCUACGUGAUUGGGAUCGGGAAUUGCAAUUAUUUCCCUUGAACGAGGAAUUCCCAGUAAGUGUGGGUCAUAAGCUCGCGUUGAUUACGUCCCUGCCCUUUGUACAUACCGCCCGUCGCUGCCCGGGACUGAGCCGUUUCGAGAAAAGCGGGGACUGCUGCUGUCGGGGCUUUCGGGCCUUGGCUUCGGUGGAAACCGCUUUAAUCGCAGUGGCUUGAACCGGGCAAAAGUCGUAACA